GGGAGGUUGGCGAUGGGCGCGUCACUCGCCAACUGGGUCAGAUCCGGAAGGAAGCAGCCCUAACGGGUUCGACGCGGGUUAUUGUUCGGCCUCCCACC
rnacentral:SRP_RNA from 1 species